AUUCACUGGCAAUGGGGAAAGAGACACCUUGUUGGUGGUGUUGUUCUUAUAUCAGCCACAGGCAGAGCAGAUGGCAGUCCUUUGUUCAUCCUAGCUUGAUAUGUGGCUUGAGGGCCAACCCUGUCUUUGCCUAGGACUCAUAA